rnacentral:rRNA from 1 species
GUAAUACAUCGGAACGUGCCCAGUAGUGGGGGAUAGCCCGGCGAAAGCCGGAUUAAUACCGCAUACGACCUACGGGUGAAAGCGGGGGACCGAAAGGCCUCGCGCUAUUGGAGCGGCCGAUGGCUGAUUAGCUGGUUGGUGGGGUAAAGGCCUACCAAGGCUACGAUCAGUAGCUGGUCUGAGAGGACGACCAGCCACACUGGGACUGAGACACGGCCCAGACUCCUACGGGAGGCAGCAGUGGGGAAUUUUGGACAAUGGGCGAAAGCCUGAUCCAGCAAUGCCGCGUGUGCGAAGAAGGCCUUCGGGUUGUAAAGCACUUUUGUCAGGAAAGAAAUUGUCUGGGCUAAUACCCCGGGCCGUUGACGGUACCUGAAGAAUAAGCACCGGCUAACUACGUGCCAGCAGCCGCGGUAAUACGUAGGGUGCGAGCGUUAAUCGGAAUUACUGGGCGUAAAGCGUGCGCAGGCGGUUUGUUAAGACAGUUGUGAAAUCCCCGGGCUUAACCUGGGAACUGCAAUUGUGACUGGCAGGCUAGAGUUUGGCAGAGGGGGGUGGAAUUCCUGGUGUAGCAGUGAAAUGCGUAGAUAUCAGGAGGAACACCGAUGGCGAAGGCAGCCCCCUGGGCCAUGACUGACGCUCAUGCA